rnacentral:lncRNA from 1 species
GGUCUCCAUGAGUGUACACGUUAACCCUAGCUAGCGACCUUUGUCUAGCAUAGGAUCCCAAUUGGAUUUCCUUUAAAGUUGGCGAACCAACACAGAUAGGAUACAUAUAAAAAUAAACAUUUUUGGCAGUCAAUCAUUUCAUUUCAUAAACAUUUCAUUUUCAUUUCAUAAGAGUCAUUUGUCAUUUGGGCAUAAUAAUAAACUGAAAUUAACAGUUAAAAUCAUCUCAUGCAUAUAUUCGUAUAAGAGGCCUACGACACGCAGGGGAUCUCUAUAUACGUAUAGUAAAAGUAAUGCCCACCUGGAUAGGCAAAGCCUGAAGAUCAUAAUCACAUAAACUCGUCUUGGGAAAGCAGCGCUAAUCCCCUUGGUUCAUAAAGCCUACAAGAAAUUCUAUUCUUAAUAGGUCUCGUGAAGCUAACUUAAGUCAUGGUGUAGUGCUUAACAUUCUAUGAUUCACUUAGCCGGGUUUUCAAAAUUUAAUAAAUAAUUGAAAACAUUUCUCUUGAGUUAAGAACACCAACAAUAUUCUUACUCGUCUUUCUUUAAUAAUUGGAAUUAUAAUUAAAACCAAUUAAAUCAUGAUGCAAAUGCAUAGCUCAUUUCAUACUUUAAUAAUGUAAUAAGUAAUUAUUUGAAAAUAUGCACUUCAUAAUGCUAAUAAUAUUAUAAUGCAAAUCAUCUUUAAAAAUAAUUUAAUCAAACUAAUUAUUAGUCUAAUUAAAUAAAAUAGGGAAGCCAUUUAAAUAGAUGAAAUAUAGCCCAUGCUCAAUUAAUUUAAUUAAUCAAGGCAACCCAAAGUUUAAAAUAAAACUGACCCAAUUGAUAUAAAUUUAGGGCCCAAGGAAUUAAUAAACAUUGGCCCAUCUGAAAAUAAAGAAAAAUCGGCCCAACAACUUAAGCCCAUUCACUCUUUCCUUCUACAUUUUCGGCCCAAUGUAAUGGUCCAACA